CUCUCCCUGUUUCCACAUUUUACCUUUCUGCAGGAUCUCUAGAUGUUCCCAUAAGAUGUCCCCAACAAAGUCUGGGGCCAGCUCGAGAAAGCAGUCUUUACCCAGGGCGCAGAGGGCUGCUCCGUUCAUACAGAACUUCUGGAAGUCUACACCUUUCAGGCUGAAUUCAUUCACAGCCCACAUCACCCAGUCCCGAACAUGGGUUUCUGUCCACUGCCGGGGGUCUGAGGAAAGACAUCAGAUGAAGAUCCAGCAGGUCAGGCUCUUAACUCCUAUCCAAGCCUCAGAGAGGACACUGAAGGAACGGAACUUAGCUGAGAAUGCUAUCUUUACUCAUCGAAUGAGGAAGCACCAGCCUAGCCUGCACAUCGAGUACCUUCCAUAACCCUCCCCUCCACAUUCAACAUCUCCGCCUUCUCUAUUUCACCAGCUAGGAGGUCACUACUGCCAGCCAAAAAGUACCACAUCCUCCUGUAUUUGUGGACCAUGUUCAUGGUGAUGGUACAUAAAUAGAGCUGAACUUAAACAUCUUCUGAAUUCACCUCAGGCACAAUUUCCCACAAAAAGCGAAUAAACAAAGACAUGAGCUGAGAAUCCCUACUAGCUUUCCUGUCACCUUUUGACAGUGAUACACUUUACUGAAGUGAUUUCUAGCAACCGGAAUCUUCAGUGUAUCCCAUGAAACUGACUUAUAAAGUGACCAAGUUCCAGGCAAGGCUACUACAGAAAUUCUUCAACUGGCUGUUUCUAAACUUUGGUUGGUUAAAAAAUAUUCCCCGGACAUAAAGAAUAUGUUAUGGGCUGAAUUAAAUUAAAACAUAGGAUAAAUCUCCGAAAAAAGGAGCAAACAUAUUGCCUCUGAAUGUCGAACUAAGUGGAAAUUACACUGCAUAAAAGAAGGAAAGGAGGUACUUUCUCUCCUGUUUGCUUUUAGCGAUGCUGUCAGGAAACCGCUAGAGUCCAGGCUGUGCUCUAGAAGAACAGAAGGGCUCCCUAGCUGCUCUUCCAGGCCUUGCCAAUGAUGAGGAAUCUGAAGUUCCAGGGAGUGAUUUAUGACUUGAUGAAAAGGACCUUACUGAUGGCGGAAAUUGGCCAGGACAACACAUGUGGAAAAUACAGGUCAGGCCAAAUGGACAAGCAGUGGUUCUGCUGCAACGGGAACUGACGGAUGAGACUGACUAGGAGGCCCCCAGAAUCUUCUCAACAUGAAAGCUAGGACAGUGGGAUGCCAGUGUGAGGUGACAGCCAAGGAUGACAGCAGAAAGCCUGAAAAAGAAGUUCCUUGAUUCUGGCUCCCAUAACUCCACAUGCCCUGACAGUGUGGUCUGGACAGGACUGCUGAGCUGACAAUUCUCCACGUAGGUUUCUGCUUCCUGUCAGGGGGCAGGCACUUCUGGGUUCUCGCUUGUUCUCUCCGAGGAAAGCAGCUAGAAUUACUUUUGCCUUUCCAUCUCAAUGCCACCUCCACAAGCCCAUUCCACGUGCUGUUGGGGCCCCGUCAGAGGUGCCUGGCUCUGCCCCUCUGGCUGUGAGACUCAAGUGCUAGAUCUCUGAAAAAAAUGGCUCACAUUCCAGCUGAGGGGAACCAUCCCUGUCCACUUAGGACACCUGCAUUUGGACUUGAUCAGCUCCAGAGAAGACACAGCAUUGUCCUUGGAGUCAAAGGAUUUAGACAUAAAAGUCAGAACUUUAUCCUAUAAAAUGUGGAACUGUAGUUUUUUAAAAAAAGAAAAAAAAGGUCAAACUCCCCUCUAUAAGUAAGUGAACAGUUGGCAAAGAUUGUCUUUUUCAGUUGUGUGAGCAUUGCACUUAAAUGAUGACUGAUCAUGUUCAAAAGUGUGUAUUAAAUAGAAAAUAAA